rnacentral:rRNA from 1 species
CCUACGGGAGGCAGCAGUGGGGAAUAUUGGACAAUGGGGGCAACCCUGAUCCAGCCAUGCCGCGUGUGUGAAGAAGGCCCUCGGGUUGUAAAGCACUUUCAGUGAGGAAGAACGCCUGGUGGUUAAUACCCAUCAGGAAAGACAUCACUCACAGAAGAAGCACCGGCUAACUCCGUGCCAGCAGCCGCGGUAAUACGGAGGGUGCGAGCGUUAAUCGGAAUUACUGGGCGUAAAGCGCGCGUAGGUGGCUUGAUAAGCCGGUUGUGAAAGCCCCGGGCUCAACCUGGGAACGGCAUCCGGAACUGUCAAGCUAGAGUGCAGGAGAGGAAGGUAGAAUUCCCGGUGUAGCGGUGAAAUGCGUAGAGAUCGGGAGGAAUACCAGUGGCGAAGGCGGCCUUCUGGACUGUCACUGACACUGAGGUGCGAAAGCGUGGGUAGCAAACAGGAUUAGAUACCCUAGUAGUC